AUGAACCCUUCUCAGUUCUCAUCAUCUUCUAUUUCAUCAAACGAUACUGAUGGUUACUUUCAUCAAGUCAUGGCAGCAUAUGAUGAAGAGCAAGAUUUACUACUUCGCAUGUACACGAAUAAUAACCUUCUCGUGGCGGAGAUUCUUGAUGAUGAAGAUGAUGAUGCUCAAUCAAAAUAUCGUGGUGCAAUUCCAGGCCAUGUAAUGGUCAAUCGACCCCGAGAAGAAGCUGCAUACAAUUUAUGGAGGGAUUAUUUUGCUGAGCGCCCAGUUCAUGAUGAUGAAAUAUUUCGAAGACGCUUCCGAAUGAGUAAAACUUUAUUUCAUCGAAUUGCGGAUGCUAUCAAAGAUCAUGACACGUUCUUUGUACAACAAUGCGAUGGGGUCGGAAAGCUCGGUUUGUCAUCCUUACAAAAGAUCACGGCCGUUUUUCAAAUGCUUGCGUAUGGUGUACCUGCUGACGCUCUUGACGACUAUUUGAAAAUUGGUGAGUCUAUUGCUAUUAGAUGUAUGAAAAAAUUUUGCCGAGCAAUUAUAGAGGUAUUUGGACCAUAAUAUCUAAGGAGACCUAACUCUGAUGAUAUAGCAAGGCUUCUUUAUAUAGGCGAAGAACGUGGUUUUCCAGGAAUGUUGGGGAAUCUUGUUGAAGGUAAAUCUCCUCCGGUUAAUUAUACAAUUAUGGGAAAGGAUUAUAAUGUUGGUUAUUAUCUAGCCGACGGUAUAUAUCCUAAAUGGUCCACACUUGUCCAAACUAUACAUGAUCCACAAGGUCAGAAGAAAACUUUGUUCGCCACAAAGCAAGAAUCAUAUAGGAAGGACGCGGAGCGUGCAUUUGGAGUUCUUCGAUCACGUUAGGCAAUUAUUAAAGGACCAGCACGAUUUUGGGAUAAACGUGUCUUACAUGAUAUAAUGACUACAUGCAUCAUAAUGCACAACAUAAUUAUUAAGGAUGAGCGAGAUUUAUCGGCUCCGAUUAAAGAAUUUAAUGAAGCACCUGCCCCUACUGUUGAGAUGGUGGUUGAUGAAACAACAAGAUUUAACCAAUUUCUUGAUCGUCAUAGAAAAAUUAAAGAUAAGAAAGCUCAUUAUGAACUUCGAGAUGCUUAUGCAGCUGUCAAGUUUGCGGAUGCAUGCCUUCGCGGCCUGAGAGGAGAUGCUGGUGUUGUGGAAUGCUCUUUUGUUGCAUCUCAGGUUACAGAACUUCCUUUCUUUGCAACCAAGGUACGGCUUGGCCGCAAUGGUGCAGAGGAAGUCUACCAACUUGGGCCCCUGAACGAGUAUGAGAGGAUCGGUUUAGAGAAGGCAAAAAGAGAGUUGGCAGGAAGCAUCGAAAAGGGUGUUUCAUUCAUCAGGAAGUAAAUUUUAGUCACUUACAAGGGAUCUGAUAGUUGCUGUUGUUUCUCUGAAUGUACUUGGAGGACAUGAAUAAACCAGGUAGUAUUAUACCGUCACAUAUUUAACCUUGCAAGUUCAAACAUACGAAGCUUAAUGUAAAGUAUAUAUAAGAAAACAUGUCUUCAUUUC